UCGAGGAUCAUUCGCAAUGCGCGAAAGCGUGACGGUGCGACGCCGCGUGAAGGAUGAAGGCCUUCGGGUCGUAAACUGCUGUCAUGAGGGAACAAUGUCCGGGAUGUUAACACCAUUUCGGGGUGAUAGUACCUCAAGAGGAAGCCACGGCUAACUCUGUGCCAGCAGCCGCGGUAAUACGUAGGGGGCAAGCGUUGUCCGGAAUUAUUGGGCGUAAAGGGUGCGUAGGCGGUUUGACAAGUCAGAUGUGAAAUAUCCGGGCUUAACCUGGAGGGUGCAUUUGAAACUGUCAGACUUGAGUGCAGGAGAGGAAAGUGGAAUUCCUAGUGUAGCGGUGAAAUGCGUAGAUAUUAGGAGGAACACCAGUGGCGAAGGCGACUUUCUGGACUGUAACUGACGCUGAGGCACGAAAGCGUGGGGAGCAAACA
rnacentral:rRNA from 1 species